GUGAUCCUUAACGUGUGUUUGUUCCAGUGUUCGUAUGUACGUGCCUGUCUUGCCGUGUUUCGAACUUCGUGUGAAUCUGGUGGAGCUGUUUACCUUUUUCCAAUGAAAUAAAUAUUGUAUUUCCAGAUUAAGUCACAUUUUUGUCUUCUUAUUUUCUUUCGUCAAUGGCUAGACCGAGGUGCGUCAGGGUAGAUAAGAUUUUAAAGUAGCAGUUCGACGCUUCUCUGUUUCCUCUGUUUUCCAUCAUAUAACGACCGUAAUCCGUGGUCAUGCUCAAAACGGAAGUGCAUGCUAACUGGACAUCCAAACUGAGUCUUACAAGAGAUCUCUCCUAUUACCCAAAAUAAAGAACAAGGAGAUCUCAAUGGACCAUGCUGAUAAUUAUGGACCAUGCUGACCGGAAAAAAAAAUAUUGGAAAGCAUAUUGGGUUUAUAUUGUGGAGGAGAUCAAAAUAAGCAAGAGAUUUAUUUGUUCCCAAAAGCUUACUUUUCUGAUGCACCAAAAAAACUAUUGCUGUGUGAGGUGACAGCCAACUGUCAAUAAAUAAACCUUAUUU
rnacentral:lncRNA from 1 species